rnacentral:misc_RNA from 1 species
ACAAAACUAGAAAGGUUGUCCAAAAGACAGCCUGUUCUUGACACUAUGUGAACUGUUUAUGUCUCUGGUGGGUUAAAAUAGUAGUUCGCUACUAGGCUUAGGUCACCCACUGCAAACCUAGACUUUAUAAUAUCUUUUGUCUUAGAAAAUGUUUAUUAAAUCUUAAA